GUUGUCUGUCUCUUUUUGAUGUUGAGUUGUUUGAGCUAUUUAUAUAUUUUGGAUAUUAACCCCUUAGGGGUCAUAUCAUUUGCAUAUAAUUUUAAGAAUCCAGAUCCAUCAGUGGGUGCUUAGGUUGUGUCCAUAUCUUGUCUAGUUUUGUACUGGAUUCCAUAUAUAUAUAUUUUUUUGUCUUUUUGCCAUUUCUUGGGCCACUCCUGUGGCAUAUGGAGGUUCCCAAGCUAGGGGUCUAAUCGGAGCCGUAGCCGCCAGCCUACACCACAGCUCACGGCAACGCCGGAUCGUUAACCCACUGAGCAAGGGCAGGGAUCGAACCCGCAACCUCAUGGUUCCUAGUCGGAUUCGUUAACCUCUGCACCACGACGGGAACUCCUGGGUUCCAUAUUUAUUGAAAGACCAAUGAAUGAGAUUUAGCCAAUGUUCUAUAAUAGUGGUGCCCAAAUUGUUAUUCAUUUUUUAGUAGCAGAAGUCCCCAUCCCCUUUUUUCCUAAAUAAAGCCCAGCACAGAAAGUAGCUCCUUGAGGUCAGGGUUCCUUUGGAAUCUCCAGAGCACCUCCCCCUUGAAGGACAUACAGAGGCCCUCCGUUCAUGGAACUGAUUCUUCUUUGGAUUUUCUUUUAUUGUCCUAGGUAGAAAGCUCCACUUGUGCUCGUAAAGGGUCUUUCCUGGAACAUUUAUUUUGUUUUGUUUUUAAAAAGACAAUAAUUGGGCUUCUGUCACAAUCUUUGGAAAACGAUCUUUAAGUAGGCAGCCUGUUCCCUUGCAACAAAACAUUCAUAUUCUUUCCUCCAUAUGCUCACAGAAGAUAAAGCUAAAAUAGCUUGUGUUAUAUUACGAGUAUUAAAAUGACAAAUAUGUCUCCAAAUAUCAAAUGAUUGGAAUAGUACAGAUUUGAAUUCCACCUAGAUGGGGAGGCAUUAUUACUGACAACAGUGUUAUUCCAUUCGUCCAUUCAUCUAUCUAUCCAUCCAUUCAUCCAUCCAACAUUCAUGGAGCAUUUCCUUGGUCCCGGUCCAGAGAAACCAAGGUGAUACACACCUGUGUAGCAGGAGGAGCAUGGAAUAUUUGAGAUUAUUAGCAUUUUACUUCCAUUUCAUCGUUUUCAUUGUUUUUAGGAUCAAAUAUGGAAAAAAAAAAAA
rnacentral:lncRNA from 1 species